rnacentral:lncRNA from 1 species
CUCUAGUUUCUCGUUCAACAAAAAGAAAAAGGAGUGUGAUUCUUUUAUUCCUAAUAUUUUUCAUCUCUUUCUUUUUCUAUUUUCUCCGGAUCUACUUACUUUCUCGCUUAGAUGUUCUUUUGGCUGAUCUUUUCUCUUUUGUUUUGGUUUUGAGUGUGGGGGGAGGGCCUAUUUUCUCCGGAUCAACUUACUUUCUCGCUUAGAUGUUCUUUUGGUUGAUCUUUUCUCUUUUAUUUUGGUUUUGAGUGUGGGGGGAAGGCAAGGACUUCCUCUUCCGGGCCCUUCAAACUCCUCAUAGGAAGAUUUAUUCGGGCUCC